GACGAACGCUGGCGGCGUGCCUAAUACAUGCAAGUUGAGCGCUGAAGGUUGGUACUUGUACCCACUGGAUGAGCAGCGAACGGGUGAGUAACGCGUGGGGAAUCUGCCUUUGAGCGGGGGACAACAUUUGGAAACGAAUGCUAAUACCGCAUAAAAACUUUAAACACAAGUUUUAAGUUUGAAAGAUGCAAUUGCAUCACUCAAAGAUGAUCCCGCGUUGUAUUAGCUAGUUGGUGAGGUAAAGGCUCACCAAGGCGAUGAUACAUAGCCGACCUGAGAGGGUGAUCGGCCACAUUGGGACUGAGACACGGCCCAAACUCCUACGGGAGGCAGCAGUAGGGAAUCUUCGGCAAUGGACGAAAGUCUGACCGAGCAACGCCGCGUGAGAGAAGAAGGGUUUCGGAUCGUAAAACUCUGUUGGUAGAGAAGAACGUUGGUGAGAGUGGAAAGCUCAUCAAGUGACGGUAACUACCCAGAAAGGGACGGCUAACUACGUG
rnacentral:rRNA from 1 species